CGCGUAGGCGGCUCGGUAAGGUUGCGGUGAAAGCCCGGGGCUCAACCCCGGGUCGGCCGUGGCAACUGCUGGGCUGGAGCACUGUAGAGGCAGGUGGAAUUCCGGGUGUAGCGGUGGAAUGCGUAGAGGUCCGGAAGAACACCGGUGGCGAAGGCGGCCUGCUGGGCAGUAGCUGACGCUGAUGCGCGACAGCGUGGGGAGCAAACA
rnacentral:rRNA from 1 species